GACGAACGCUGGCGGCGGGCUUAACACAUGCAAGUCGAACGGAAAGGCCCUGCUUUUGUGGGGUGCUCGAGUGGCGAACGGGUGAGUAACACGUGAGUAACCUGCCCUUGACUUUGGGAUAACUUCAGGAAACUGGGGCUAAUACCGGAUAGGAGCUCCUGCUGCAUGGUGGGGGUUGGAAAGUUUCGGCGGUUGGGGAUGGACUCGCGGCUUAUCAGCUUGUUGGUGGGGUAGUGGCUUACCAAGGCUUUGACGGGUAGCCGGCCUGAGAGGGUGACCGGCCACAUUGGGACUGAGAUACGGCCCAGACUCCUACGGGAGGCAGCAGUGGGGAAUAUUGCACAAUGGGCGGAAGCCUGAUGCAGCAACGCCGCGUGCGGGAUGACGGCCUUCGGGUUGUAAACCGCUUUCGCCUGUGACGAAGCGUGAGUGGCGGUAAUGGGUAAAGAAGCACCGGCUAACUACGUG
rnacentral:rRNA from 1 species